rnacentral:rRNA from 1 species
AUUGAACGCUGGCGGAAUGCUUUACACAUGCAAGUCGAGCGGCAGCGCGGGGGCAACCCUGGCGGCGAGCGGCGAACGGGUGAGUAACAUAUCGGAACGUACCCAGUCGUGGGGGAUAACUAUCCGAAAGGAUAGCUAAUACCGCAUACGUCCUGAGGGAGAAAGCGGGGGAUCGCAAGACCUCGCGCGAUUGGAGCGGCCGAUAUCGGAUUAGCUAGUUGGUGGGGUAAAGGCUCACCAAGGCGACGAUCCGUAGCGGGUCUGAGAGGACGACCCGCCACACUGGAACUGAGACACGGUCCAGACUCCUACGGGAGGCAGCAGUGGGGAAUUUUGGACAAUGGGGGCGAACCCUGAUCCAGCCAUUCCGCGUGAGUGAAGAAGGCCUCGUUGU